GACGAACGCUGGCGGCGUGCCUAAUACAUGCAAGUCGAACGCUUCUUUUUCCACCGGAGCUUGCUCCACCGGAAAAAAAAGAGUGGCGAACGGGUGAGUAACACGUGGGUAACCUGCCCAUCAGAAGGGGAUAACACUUGGAAACAGGUGCUAAUACCGUAUAACAAUCGAAACCGCAUGGUUUUGAUUUGAAAGGCGCGUUCGGGUGUCGCUGAUGGAUGGACCCGCGGUGCAUUAGCUAGUGGGUGAGGUAACGGCGCACCAAGGCCACGAUGCAUAGCCGACCUGAGAGGGUGAUCGGCCACAUUGGGACUGAGACACGGCCCAAACUCCUACGGGAGGCAGCAGUAGGGAAUCUUCGGCAAUGGACGAAAGUCUGACCGAGCAACGCCGCGUGAGUGAAGAAGGUUUUCGGAUCGUAAAACUCUGUUGUUAGAGAAGAACAAGGAUGAGAGUAACUGUUCAUCCCUUGACGGUAUCUAACCAGAAAGCCACGGCUAACUACGUGCCAGCAGCCGCCGUAA
rnacentral:rRNA from 1 species